rnacentral:rRNA from 1 species
GGCAGCAUGGGGUAGCAAUACUCUGAUGGCGACCGGCAAACGGGUGCGGAACACGUACGCAACCUUCCUUUAACUGGAGAAUAGCCCCUCGAAAGAGGGAUUAAUACUCCGUAAUAUGAUGAUCCCGCAUGGGGUUAUUAUUAAAGCUCCGGCGGUUAGAGAUGGGCGUGCGCCUGAUUAGGUAGUUGGCGGGGUAACGGCCCACCAAGCCUGCGAUCAGUAACUGGUGUGAGAGCACGACCAGUCACACGGGCACUGAGACACGGGCCCGACUCCUACGGGAGGCAGCAGUAAGGAAUAUUGGUCAAUGGACGCAAGUCUGAACCAGCCAUGCCGCGUGGAGGAUUAAGGCCCUCUGGGUUGUAAACUCCUUUUAUCU